AAAAAAAAACCAAUCACAAUUUGCGUAUAUAUUUACAAAUCCCUACAUCGGUUAGUUGAUCGCACAUAAAAUCUGGCUUUGCUGAUAAGAGAUCCCCGUUUACGUGUGCGUCUUCUCUCUCGUGCAUACACGCAAGAUUUCCUCGUCGUGUAUCGCGUAUCUCUUUAUCCUUGUUCCAUAUCUUUCCCUCUCUCUUUCUCUCUCGUACUCACGUCUAAACGUGUAUACGCGCACGCAGAUGCCGCGUGUCGAUGUGGGUAGGGUUAUUAGCCCAGAAAGCAAGGCCCCUGCUUCCGGUGUAGGCACUUUAGUUCGAGAGUUUCUUAACCCCUUCUUACACGACUUCUUGCUGGCCUGCCCUGGCCUAAGACUCUGCCCCGACUUGGCCUGUUGUCGGUUGCGGGUGGUAGAAUUUCUCGUCGAGAACGAACUCCUGGGUCUACGACGAAACACUCUCUUAUACUUGCAUUUGUGUGCACGGUAUGAACGGAUCGUAGGGUAGGUAGAUAUACUAGGUUAGGUCGGCACAGUGGCGAACCGAACAAUUUUUCCCGCGGUCUAAGGUGGACCCGACAUCGAACGAUCGUAAAUUUCGCGAAACAGAGGGCGCACGACUCUGACUCGCGAUCUUGCUUAUCGUACGCUACCAUGAUACUGAUGCAGAUUUUACCGUGUUGUUUUGGGAUAGUCUGUUAAUAUACAGGAUGAAAGAGAAAAAAAUUUUAAAUUUGGAAUUUUAUAUUAAAAUGUAAAAUAGAAGGAAGAAAAAAUAAAUAUUAAUAAACAGAUCAUUUGUCGUAUAAUAGAAUCGUCAAAAGAAUUACAGGGAAAUACUCGGUGAUAGGUUAAUGGACGUAAAAAAUGAACAGGCUGGCGUAAAGCGGCAGAGAGAUACGAGCCUCGACGAUGAUAGAUAUGGUUUAACCAGUCGUAAUUGUUUUGCGUUCGCUCUUAAUUGGGGCUACUUGUUCGUUACGUUUCUUCCGAAUGGGUAAGAAGCUAUGAAGUUUUAAUAAAUGCCUUGAUCGAGCUGUUAACAUGUUCUGUGGGGAAACAGGUAAAAAAAAAAAUCUUCAAUUCGUUAGUCAGCUUGUAUCAUCAUUAAUAAUAAACACAAAAAACGAAGAAUAAUGGAAUCAUAACUUGAAUUCACAAAUCGAUCGUAAAAUAAAGGUUAUUUUUUAUCUCUCUUUCUCUCUCUUGAUUCAUUGUUUCACUUCAACGAUGUAUUGCAGUUUUAUUAUUGAUUCAAAUGAACAAGACCAUUGGAUAGCCAGACUUUCCACAUCCUGUGUUUAGACUUUCUGAGUGAUUUCUAGGUCAGAUAACAAUUGGAAUAACUCGAUUGAAUUGGUAUACCGAUCAGUGAGACGGCAAAGGUGGUCGGCUCGCUUUCGAAAGUGAUGACCCCAGGGAGCGGUAAAGAUGCGUGCAGGUGCUUCCUCCUUGCAUUUUAUACCUAGAACAACACUAAUGCGAUGAAGAUUAGCUUACUUAAGUUCCCAUGAACUAUUUUUGAGCUUAAUCGUUUGCACUGAUCUCCUGUUAUACGUUGUAUACGUACGCCAGCUAGGUUGUAAUAGAUAAUUACUCCUGCGACCAGGUAGGGGGAUAGACGUUCCUGGAUCGCUAAUGAGCUUCUGGAAUAUUAUCGAUGCUCACGGUAAUGCUUAUAACUGCUUUUCAACUGAGAUUGUAAAUUUUCCGUUGUUCACUGAUUUCUGAGGGAAAGAUGCACGCCGAUUAUGCAUUGGUGGAAUAUAAUAGUGUUUUAAAGAAACACUGUUGCUUCUGAACGAAGAAUUAUCAAUAGAUUUGCCAGAAUGAAGCGAAGACGGACAUAUAUAUACUCAGAAAUGCAAAGAUAUUCAAAUAAUUGCUUCUUACGAAAUAGAAAUGAAUAUCGUAUAAUUCUUGGAAGGAAAAUAAACUGUAUAUUCUUCUUGAAUUCCAGAUGAUUAAAGCGCAAGCAUUAAGAUUUGUACAUAAAUACUCGAUCUUGCGUAAUAGAAAAACAUUGAAUUGUGAUCCCUUGACGAACUCGAAAAAAUUACAUGGCGAAAACUAUUGCAACGUCGGAAGUGGCAAUGCUCGGGAAGCGUACGGUUCUCAAAGGGUUAAUUGGGCAUAGUAAUUCUUCAGGUGACCAAGCUCCAUGGGAGUGGAACGGAGAAAACCCAGUUUUAUGCUUCGCAUUAAGUGCUUAUAUCUAUAUCUUUAUGUUGUAUCUGCUAAUUUAUAA